AAAAAAUGCUGUCCCUGCAUCCCUUGAAGUCAUUGGGACCCAGCUAUCCCGUGCAGGCUAAACUUACCUCAACCCAUCUCCAUGGAAGUCUUGUGGGCUCUGUCAUCUGCCGUGACCUCUUGCAGUCCACAGCCUCACACCAAUCAGUCAUCUACCAUGACCCCUCGGAGCUCACAGCCUCACACCAACCAGGACAGAAAAAAUGCUGUCCCUGCAUCCCUUGAAGUCAUUGGGACCCAGCUAUCCCGUGCAGGCUAAACUUACCUCAACCCAUCUCCAUGGAAGUCUUGUGGGCUCUGUCAUCUGCCGUGACCUCUUGCAGUCCACAGCCUCACACCAAUCAGUCAUCUACCAUGACCCCUCGGAGCUCACAGCCUCACACCAACCAGGACAGAAAAAAUGCUGUCCCUGCAUCCCUUGAAGUCAUUGGGACCCAGCUAUCCCGUGCAGGCUAAACUUACCUCAACCCAUCUCCAUGGAAGUCUUGUGGGCUCUGUCAUCUGCCGUGACCUCUUGCAGUCCACAGCCUCACACCAAUCAGUCAUCUACCAUGACCCCUCGGAGCUCACAGCCUCACACCAACCAGGACAGAAAAAAUGCUGUCCCUGCAUCCCUUGAAGUCAUUGGGACCCAGCUAUCCCGUGCAGGCUAAACUUACCUCAACCCAUCUCCAUGGAAGUCUUGUGGGCUCUGUCAUCUGCCGUGACCUCUUGCAGUCCACAGCCUCACACCAAUCAGACAUGAGAAAUGGUGUCCCUGAGGCCCUUGGCAUUG